CCCUUUGUAUUCGUACGAAGGUGUCCUAGUGGCGAACGGGUGAGUAACACGUUGGUGACCUGCCCCGAAGAGAGGGACAACCCCGGGAAACCGGGGCUAAUACCUCAUGUGCUCCAUGGUGUUAGAGGACCAUGGAGGAAAGGGAGCAAUCCGCUUCGGGAGGGGCCUGCGGCCCAUCAGCUAGUUGGUAGGGUAACGGCCUACCAAGGCGACGACGGGUAGGGGACCUGAGAGGGUGGUCCCCCACACUGGUACUGAAACACGGACCAG
rnacentral:rRNA from 1 species